rnacentral:rRNA from 1 species
GACGAACGCUGGCGGCGUGCUUAACACAUGCAAGUCGAACGGAAAGGCCCUGCUUUUGUGGGGUGCUCGAGUGGCGAACGGGUGAGUAACACGUGAGUAACCUGCCCUUGACUUUGGGAUAACUUCAGGAAACUGGGGCUAAUACCGGAUAGGAGCACCUGCUGCAUGGUGGGGGUUGGAAAGUUUCGGCGGUUGGGGAUGGACGCGCGGCUUAUCAGCUUGUUGGUGGGGUAGUGGCUUACCAAGGCUUUGACGGGUAGCCGGCCUGAGAGGGUGACCGGCCACAUUGGGACUGAGAUACGGCCCAGACUCCUACGGGAGGCGGCAGUGGGGAAUAUUGCACAAUGGGCGGAAGCCUGAUGCAGCAACGCCGCGUGCGGGAUGACGGCCUUCGGGUUGUAAACCGCUUUCGCCUGUGACGAAGCGUGAGUGACGGUAAUGGGUAAAGAAGCACCAGCUAACUACGUG